rnacentral:tRNA from 1 species
UCCCUGGUGGCUGAGACAGUAAAGAAUCUGCCUGCAGUACAGGAGACCUGGGUUCAAUCCCUGGAUAGGGAG